GUUCACACUUUUUUUCUGUUGACUCCGAGCUAAAAUCAUGGAUUUACAGCCCUCCCCGGAAUUUUUUAGAUGCUUUGUAUGAUUCUAUAAAAAAAAUUGAAAUUGGUAUUUCAAAAUUUUAAUUGAACUCUUAUUUCAAAGAUAAAAUUGACCAGACAAUUGUAACACUUGAAGUUCGUACCAAUUGAGUUGCAGUAAUUUAUUUUCCAAUGACGGAUCUUGUGCUAACUUGGAGCGAACCGAGUUGCAGUAUUUAUCAAAAUCAAGAAAUUUUUUUGGAUUUAUGAGAAAUUCAUUUGAUUCGACAUGAGAAAGUAGAGAGACAUCGACUCAUUCAUAUCUUUAGAACAGGAUUGGUCACUAAUAAGCUCUUCGUCUUCUCAUUCGGAUUUUGUAGUAAUUGGUGCAAGUUUGUUUUCAUUCUUUACCUUUUAUAUUUCUAACAACAAAAUGAUCAAUUUCUAUUCGACGGAAGAGGACUGUGGAAGGAAGUGAUUAUCAAAGUUUAUUUGGUACUAAGGUUUACAUCCAAUUCUGACAAGGUGAAUAAUAAGUAUUAUCUCAAGCCUGCUUCUUUGGAAGAGAUAGUCUGGUAAGGACUUUGGUUCCUUUAUUUCCAGCUCGGGUCUUUACCAAGAUACAAUUGCCGAUGCACUAAAUUUUAUAUCUCUUUUGCAAGCAAAUUGUGACACCUCUAUGUUCAUGGUCCUAUAGGGACAACAAAGGAUACAAUUUCAAAAUGGAUAAGGCUAAGUAUAAUAUUUGUCAUGAAGUGUGGAAAAUUCUUGAAAUCAUGCAUAAACUAUUGAUCUAUGUCUAAAAUGUUUGAUUAUGAAAUUGUCUUAGUAUAAUAGAAGUAACUAAUUAUGCAUAUAUUGUACAUAAACUAUUGGAUAUUGUUUGUUUAAACUUUAGUAUGUAUUAGUAUUUAUUUUAUCUGUCUUGAUGUAAGGAUAAGUCAAUAUUAUUUAAAGGUACUAU